rnacentral:sRNA from 1 species
UUUUUGUUUUCAAGCUCUUAAACAUUAUUUAUUUAAUUAAAAAAAUUUUAACCUUUAAAAAUAUAUUUUCUUUUUGUAUCUCCAAAUAGUUUACUUCUCUCUCUUUCUUUUGUUGUUGGUUUUUCUUAAACUUCUACUGUUCUAGUUCUCAUUCUUAAUAUUUUCUCUUUGGGACUGCGGCCUUUUUCCUUUUGCUUUGCCUAAUUUACUAGUCAUGAUAUCAGUUGUGUACUUCAGAUAGUCUUUCCUAAUACACCUGUUUGUCCUAAGUGUCUCUGUUCUGCUCUCUCAUACAAUGCUGUAAAACCUGACUUGUCAUAUUAUAUUAUAUUGGAAAUUAUGUUUAAGCUUCUUAAGCUGUUAGCUUCUUGAGGGCAGGGAACCGUGUUGCCUUCUGUUUUUAUUCUUGUUGCCUAACACUGGCCUUGGCACAUGGAUUAGAUGCUCUACAAGUGUUUGUUGUAACUGAACCAUUAAUUCUUCUACAAAAGUUUCUGUAAGGUCUAACUAGUUAGGUUCAGAAGUGAUAUUUAAAAUGUUUAAUAAUUGUUAUUGCAUGGACACUGACUAAUAAAUAUGAACAGAUAACAGACAAACUAUUUGUAGAGCUGAAUAUAGGCUUUUGAGUAUUUUGAUAUUCUCUAUUAUAAUAAAUAAUCUUAACUUG